AUACACCGUGGUUUCGAGGCACGACGAAAGCGGCAGUAGUGAGCGCCGCAGCGCUGUAAGAAUAAAUGAAAGAUAGCGACUUGCUAUCACUCUUUGACUAGUGGAGGCAAUCCGUUCCACAAAGAAAUAAAAAUAAGCUUUACAGGUGUUCACCGGAAGCCUUCAGUUUCUAUUGGGUUUGACUCUGUGAAAAAGACAGGAUUCGGAGGAACCUGGUGGCGCAGGGCUUUGCUCCCGGCACGCAGGAGGCCAAGGCUUGCUAUGCAGUCCAUGCUGGCCUCGGACUGGACAGGCAUCUGUUAUAAUCCUCAUUGUCAACUCAACUGAAUUUGGAUUCACUAAGGAGAUACACCCUCUGGGCUAUAUGUGAGGUGGUUUUCAGAAUUUAAGAGAAGAGGGAAGUCUCUCUGAAUGUGGGUGACACCAUCCCUACAGCCCGGGGGCCCAUAGUAAGUAGAAAAGGGGAAGGCUACAAUGCCUUUUCUGUCAUAUGGCUAAACAGUGCCAAAAGAAAUAUUUGUUUGAACUUGUUUUCUGUCAAGUAUUUAAUCACAGCGACAAGUAACUAAUCCACCAUCCUUCUGCCUCAGCAUUAUUUGUGCUGAGAUUACAGGCCUGUGCUAUCAUCCAUAAUCCAUUACCAAUUUGUUUUGUUUUGCUUUUUUUCGAUACAAGGUUUCUCUGUGUGUAGCCCUGGCAAUCCUAGAACUCAAAAUGUAGACCAGGCUGGCCUUGAAAUCACAGAGAUCCACCUGCCUCUGCCUCCCAAGUGCUGGCAUUAAAGGCAUGCGUCACCACGGCCUGUCGUAUGACCACUUUUUGAACACUCAUUUUCCAACUGCUUUCUCUAUGGUAAUACAAAAGAGGAAAACAAUGGUUUCAUUCCAUUGUUAUGUAAGAGUACCCUAAAGAUAUGUCAAUUUGUGCUUGGUUGACAUUGAAAUAAAUAUUAAUCUAUAUGUAAUACUUUCAUAACAUUAUAUGCUUUUUCUUAAAUAAGAUCUGAUGAUUUAUUUAUUUAUUUAUUUGGUUUUUCGAGACAGGGUUUCUCUGUGGCUUUGGAGGCUGUCCUGGAACUAUCUCUUGUAGACCAGGCUGGCCUCGAACUCACAGAGAUCUGCCUGCCUCUGCUUCCCAAGUGCUGGGAUUAAAGGCGUGCGCCACCAACGCCUGGCAGAUCUGAUGAUUUAUGUGGCUUAACAUUGCAUAAGUAAUUACGUUACAUGUUCUACAUCAGAUUUCCCCUCCUGCCUCUGACAGUCUUUAAGGGGACAUAAAAACACUCCAUUUCUACAAUUUGUUUGAAAGGUUCAGGCAUUUCGAUGGCCUGUCCUGUUGUCCUAUUACCUGACAGAAUGCCCUCAGGCAGCACUCUGGCCAGCCCAGAGUUCCAUGAGAACCAGUCUGCACGCAGGUGCAAAGGACCCCUUUAAAAGGACAGACCCCUGCCCACUUUCUCCCCCCCCAUGUCUGUCUCCCCCCUUUCAGUCUCGCUAUAAUAAACUAUGGUUAAUAUGCUCUCCAUGGCUUGUGCUCUGUCCAUCUGCUGGUCCUUAUUCCAUAAUUAACAACAAUGUUACCUAAAAAUAGGUAACAAAUUACAACAGAGUUUGUAUUUUUCAACCAAUUAAAAAAAAACUGUAACAAUGAUCUCUUUAUAUAGGACACCAUUCUCUAGAACUAAGAAUUUUUUUUUUACUUCAAUUCGGGGUUGACUUAAUUUUUUUUCUCCUCCAUCCUUCUCUACAUUACUAGAAAUAAAAUUCAGUCCUGUGGACUGAUUUUUGAAGUUUCACAAUAAAGAAAUGAUAAAUGAAGUAGAUUUGUUUAGCUUGGUUUAAACAUUCUAUGAUGUAUUCAUGUAUUGAAACACACAUGGGAGCCCAUUAAUGUAUACAACUUUAUGCUUUUAUGUAUGGUUUGAAAAUAGAGUGGCCGGGCAGUGGUGGCAUAUGCCUUUAAUGCCAGCACAUGGGAGGCAGAGGCAGGUGGAUCUCUGUGAUUUUGAGGCCAGCUUGGUCUGCAGAUUUGAGUUCUAGGACAGCCAAGGCUGUUACAUAGAGAAACCCUGUUUCAGAAAAACAAAAAACAAACAAAAAAACAAACAAACCACGCUCACGGUGUGAGGAAGUGGUAGAGGACUCCCCUAGCAUGCUUAAAUCCCAGGAUGGCAUGAACUGGAUGGGGUGACAUGCAACAAAAUCCCAGCUCUUAGGAGGCUAAGGCAAGUUCAAGGUUAUCCUUGGCCUAGAGUAAGUAACCUUGAAGCCAACAUGAAAGAGAUUCUGUCUCAAAAUAAUAAAAGUUCCAUGUCUUACUUGAAA